UAGGGAAUCUUCGGCAAUGGACGAAAGUCUGACCGAGCAACGCCGCGUGAGUGAAGAAGGUUUUCGGAUCGUAAAACUCUGUUGUUAGAGAAGAACAAGGACGUUAGUAACUGAACGUCCCCUGACGGUAUCUAACCAGAAAGCCACGGCUAACUACGUGCCAGCAGCCGCGGUAAUACGUAGGUGGCAAGCGUUGUCCGGAUUUAUUGGGCGUAAAGCGAGCGCAGGCGGUUUCUUAAGUCUGAUGUGAAAGCCCCCGGCUCAACCGGGGAGGGUCAUUGGAAACUGGGAGACUGGAGUGCAGAAGAGGAGAGUGGAAUUCCAUGUGUAGCGGUGAAAUGCGUAGAUAUAUGGAGGAACACCAGUGGCGAAGGCGGCUCGCUGAUCUGUAACUGACGCUGAGGCUCGAAAGCGUGGGGAGCAAACAGG
rnacentral:rRNA from 1 species